UACGAAGGGGGCUAGCGUUGCUCGGAAUUACUGGGCGUAAAGCGCACGUAGGCGGAUUUGUAAGUCAGGGGUGAAAUCCCGGGGCUCAACCUCGGAACUGCCUUUGAUACUGCAAGUCUUGAGUCCGGAAGAGGUGAGUGGAAUUCCUAGUGUAGAGGUGAAAUUCGUAGAUAUUAGGAAGAACACCGGUGGCGAAGGCGGCUCACUGGUCCGGUACUGACGCUGAGGUGCGAAAGCGUGGGGAGCAAACAGG
rnacentral:rRNA from 1 species